AUUGAACGCUGGCGGCAGGCCUAACACAUGCAAGUCGAGCGGAUGAAGGGAGCUUGCUCCUGGAUUCAGCGGCGGACGGGUGAGUAAUGCCUAGGAAUCUGCCUGGUAGUGGGGGAUAACGUCCGGAAACGGGCGCUAAUACCGCAUACGUCCUGAGGGAGAAAGUGGGGGAUCUUCGGACCUCACGCUAUCAGAUGAGCCUAGGUCGGAUUAGCUAGUUGGUGGGGUAAAGGCCUACCAAGGCGACGAUCCGUAACUGGUCUGAGAGGAUGAUCAGUCACACUGGAGCGGAGACACGGACCAGACUACUACGGGAGGCAGCAGUGGGGAAUAGUGGACAAUAGGCGGAAGCCUGAUCCAGCCAUGCCGCGUGUGUGAAGAAGGUCUUCGGAGUGUAAAGCACUUUAAGUUGGGGGGAAGGGCAGUAAGUUAAUACCUUGCUGUUUUGACGUUACCAACAGAAUAAGCACCGGCUAACUUCGUG
rnacentral:rRNA from 1 species